rnacentral:lncRNA from 1 species
UGGUGGUGGGAAGGUCCGACAAACUCAUUGAACCCAAGCUACCUGAUACCAAAUUGGUAGAGGCUAGGGUUCUACCAGGUCUCGGACGUAGAUUGUAGGGGUGGAAGUGCGGGCUGCGAGGUUGGGGACGCCGGCGCCGUCGCGACGUGAGAGAGAGAGAGAGAGGCGGCUAGGGUUUGGGAGGAGACGACAACAGAAUAUACUGUUUAUUGUCUGCUUAAUAUCGAAGAGGUACAUGUGUUUAUAUAGGAGGACAACCUCCACUAAACCCUAGAUAACUUGGACUCUAAGAUAGGUAAGAUAACUUGGGCUAAGCCCGUAAUUAACCCUGCCCAUUGGGCCUCCUCCGUUGGUACGUUGUACCGGUCAUAACAAUAAUAGUGGGUGUGGGUAUAACUGGGGCAAACAAAAGAAAAUAAAUG